rnacentral:tRNA from 1 species
GGAGAGAUGCGAGAGCGGCUGAAUCGGGCGGUCUCGAAAACCGUUAUACCGCAAGGUAUCGGGGGUUCGAAUCCCCCUCUCUCCG